rnacentral:tRNA from 1 species
AGUCUUAUAGUCAAAUAAUGAUAUAAAAUUGCAAAUUUUAUGGUAUAAUUAAAUUAAUUAUUAAGGCUU